rnacentral:misc_RNA from 1 species
GGAGGUUAGGUCAGAGUAUAUGCUGCAAGAAGGAAGGAAAAAGAGUCAAGACAUAAAACUUAACCUAACUGUAGAUACGUCCAAAAAUGAAGUAUAUAUUGUAAACGAGAAAACAAAAAAUAAGAUGCUUCCUUUCAGAAUUACUUUAGUUAUCAAAUGCAAACAUAGAAAAAGAGCCCUCAUUCUUAUUAAUUAAAUUUCAGCAUAGAGAUGGUCUUACACUUGUCCACACAUUCAAGUUUAUUAAAAUUUUAUGCAAGGGAUAGAACUAGAGAAUAAAUCUAUUCUUCGGCUAUUAUUUUCAAGGUACAAAAAAAUAAAUAAAUAAAUAAAUGGUCUUUGCUAAUACUAAACUAUGCCCUCUGUAGGAUGGAGUGAAUUUCAAUAGCUCAAUAUUGAAAUAAAAGCACAAAAGAAUUCUAGAUGGCAGUUGCUGAGGGAGGGAGAGUAAAGACACAGCCACAUGAAAUCCUCAAUGAUAGAACAAAUAUAAUUUCAUUCAUUUAUUACCAUAACAAUCAUGGUUGUGCUAGUUUUGCCAGUAUAACCAUGUCUAAAAUCUUAACGUCAAGAGUGUCAUCAACUUUUACAAUUCCGUCAGAUCCAUCUACACCAAUUAGCUUACCAGUGGCACCACGAUGUGCACCACCCAUGAUCUUGAUCUUAUCUGAUUUCCUCGGUACCAUUAUGUCAAUUUCAUUUGGAAGAGCUGUGAUCGUUUCCCCAUUGCCAUUAGCCCCUAGGACUACCCUACAGGAUCCAUCCGGAAGCACCUCCCUGACAACGCCAACAGAAGAUUCAUCAGCAGCCUUCCGUACAUUAACUAGAAUGUCUGGCAUGAACCAUAGUCCUUCAUUGUCCCCUCCUGCAAUUGAACGGAUGUCAACUUGUAAAUUUGCUAAAAAUAAUUCAAAUUGAUGUUGAAGCAUGACAAAUCACUCUUCAUGGAUCCGGCGGACAAGAAAGGUUUUGCAGAAAGACAACUAAAAUCCAAUUCAUACUGUAAAAUUUAUCAUUUAGCAUCUUUGCAGUUUUAUGGCAAGAAGAAUAGAAUCGAUUUAGUAUUCCAUAAAAGCACACAAAAGAUUGGAUUCAGAACAUCAUAGAAUUUCAAGCAGAUUUAAUCAUACUAAACACCUUUCCAUUUCUGGAAUCAAGGCACCAAGGUUAGAACCAUGCAUAUGUGCAAUCAAUUCCAGAAGAGAGAAUCAUUUUCAUUUUCAGAAGACAUCACAAGCUCCUCAGUAAAGCAAUAUCAUGAUUUAACCCCAAAUUGUCUAGUUGCAAUACUAAAACUUCCUUCGCAUACCACAUGUAGCCUAACAAUAUUUCAACAAAAACUUGGAAAUUGGGAAAGAAUAUUCUAGAAAUAUUAUGUAUCAAAAUUAAUCGAUCCUUCACACCAUUAUGACUAAAAUAUCAAAGACUGAAAAGCACAAAUCAAACCUAUAACAGGAGACAUGACAUCAAGACCACCAGUUCCAGGUGUCAUCGGCUGCCCCCCAGGAGUGCCAGGAAGGUAUGCCGCAGAGCUUGGAGUCGUAGGCUGCCCACCAGGAGUUGAAGGCAAGUAUGGGCUUGGAGCAUUGGCAUAGGCAGAACUGCUAUCCCUUGGCGUUCCAGCUUCGCUAUAACUACCACCAGGAGUGCUAGCCCAGCCUGAACCAGGAGUUGGAGCUUCAUAUGCCCGAGAAGGGGGGCUUCCUGGCUGAUACUGUGGACUAGUUCCCCAAGAAGCAGGAUUUCCAUCUUCCCAAUUAUCCCUAGGAGGACUCAUUGGUGCAUAAGGAUUCCAUGCUCGGUCACGCAUAGGUGUCCUCAUGCCAUCAUGAAUAGGCGUUGCUCCAGCAUCUCUCAUUGGAGUCAUAUAUGGGUGCAGUGGAGUCCGAGAAGGAUGCAUAGGAGUUUCACUUCCCAUACCAUAUCGAGAUGAAUCACGGUAUGGGGUUGAUACAACUACAUUGUCGGAAAUAUUAGUGCGAUCAACUAAAAUAACUUUCAUUUGGGACUCCAACUCAACUCGAACAGAUUGGCCUUUGAUUUCUACAACCCGCCCCCGAUAGCCCUUGAAAGGACCCUGUCGUAUCUUUACUGUGGUACCAACCAGAGCAUCGUGCCCUCCUCUUCCACCCCUAUUCCUUCCCCCAGACUCAAAUGGAGGACCUCCUCUUGGAAAUCUCCUUGGUGAAGGGGGUACACGAGCGGGAGAUUUCAAACUACCAAAUCUUGAAUAGGAAUCACCAUUUCUAUCACCGUUGGCUCGAGUUCCUCCCACAAUGACGCAAGAAUGAGAUUUAACACAGAUAAAUCCAGCAUGUUCCAGGUGAUGGCGAUCAUAGAUAAACAAGACUCCUCUGUAUAUGUGCUCUACAGGACCUUGUUUCCCUUUGCAAGGACCAUCAAUGAUUCUGACAACAUCCUUAGCAGAUAUAGUAUUCUUGUACCGAUCUUGCACAUUAAAUUUCUUUUCAAUCUUGCAUUUGAUCUCUCUCAAUCUAACAAGAGCAACCUCAGAUCUUUCUGGGACCCCCUUAAGAACCUGAAAGGCUUCAAUUUCUACACGUAUAAUUACGCCAAAGCUCAUAUUAUCCAGUAGCACAAGAUCAUGGAGCUCAUAUUCUCCAAUUUUGGUCACGCCAGUAGUAACCUCAGAGCUUUCCACAACAUCGUCGGCGAAAACACGAAUAUGUUCCUUAGUUGUAUCAGAAAGAAUGAUCAGCACAUGCUGCUCCACCUUAACAACCAUGCCAGUUGCACCUUCCUGUGUACCAGAGACAACCUUCACAUGAUUACCCGGUUCAAAAUACUUGCACAGCUCCUUUUCAUUCACUGCAAUAGUUCUUGGAAGGUCCUUCAUUUCUGGUCUGAUAUGAACAUUUUCUUCAUCAACUUUCUCAACCCAUCCCUUAAGGUUUUUCAAAUCUCCCUUGACAACAAUAACUGCAUCACCCUUCACAAAGUGGCCCUUCUUUCUAUUUGCAAAUAAGGUUGACAAACUGGCCAUAUCACCAUCUCCAUUCUCUCCAGGUGUUCGGAACUUCUCAAGUUCAUCAAAAGUUGGCUUGAUGUUCAUAGCACUAAUCGAUUUCAUCGACACAGUUUUAUACAAGAACCCAUCUUUAAACAACAUACCACCAAUGUUUUCAAAAUAAUCACCAGUCAUGGGAUCUCUUCUUCGUUCUACCCGAAUGUGCAGUUCUCUAGCUUCAUCAACAUUCAUAAAACGAGGCGGGGGGACAAAUGCCUUCUUUUUUACAACCUCUCUGCCCUCCAAUUUAUUUGCAAGAGCCUGCAAGUCGAUCCUUGGAAUCAACUUCACUGUAACUCUCUGCCGCACAUUAUCUACAUCUACCACUUUAGCAAGAUCUCCUUUGUAAGUACCAAUCUUCAUUCUGACCCAGGUAUCCCUUGAAAGAUCUAUCGCUUUACUUUCAACUGAAAGAACAUCAGUCAUUUCUUUUAUUGGGACGAGCAUUAUUUUCUGGCCGUAUAUAUUGCGCAGACCUUUACAAGCCUCCCUCACAUGGGCUUCCUUGUCUGCUUCAAUAUAAAUAUAGUUUUUGAGAUGAUCAAGAGCAAUAGCAGACCUGAUUUGCAACUCAGAUCCUUUAUCAAUACACUUUUGCAUUAGACAAACAGCUGUUUCUCUUUCACGACCAAUCGCACAUUUCACCAUCCAUAACUUUGGAUCCCGAACAGAUGGCAGAAGAGCUUGUUGCUCAACAUCUGUAGUCUCUUCAUCAUAUUCUGUGUGACUUGACCUUGCAUACCUCGCUUGAAUGCUUCUCUCAAGAGCUUCAACAUCUUCUUGGUCAUCCUCCCGAGGGAGCAAUGGCCUACGAUGAACCCUUCUGCUAUCAUCUUCAUCAGGUAGAUCAGCUCCAGUAUCAACUAUAAAAUCGUCCUCAGCAUCCUCGUCCUCUUCCUCUUCUUCAUCGCUAUCGACCGCAGCUUCGAGAUCAAAAAACUGAGUCCCCGACCUCCUCUUUGCCUUCUGCCUCCGGCCACCACCACCAUACUCAUUAUCCUCAUCCUCUUCUUCUUCCUCCUCAUCGUCCUCUUCAGCAACGUCGUCUAUAAAAUCUGAUCUCCGCCUCUUCCUGCUGGACCCUCCCCUAUCUUCUUCCUCUUCUUCUUCGUCAUCCAUCAACUGCUGCUCCUGGUCAUCGUACUCCUCAUCUUCUACAUCGAGCUCCUCAUAGUCUUCGUCCCUAUGACGAGGCAUAGCUUCGUUUCCUGUAACAAAAUUCCGAUAUCUCUAUAUCGCUGAAUCAAGCGUGAGCUUUAUAUUGGUGAGUGUCUUGUAGAAAUGUGAAUCAAGGGUCUGGUCG